UGUUGUGUGUAUAUAGUCUGUUUUUAUAUUUGACCGCAUCUGCCACGGACCAGUCGGGAUAUUUAGGAAGGAAAAAAAAAUGUACAUAGUGGACUGCAUUGGUUUUUCACCCGUGUGUGUGUGUGUGUCUUGACCAGUAGGUCCGCAUGUCUGCGUAAACAGCUUUCCGCUUUAGCUUUUUAAACACACAUAGACACAAGAAGAAGAGAAGGAAAGAAAAAAGGCCGCUCUUCUUCUUUUCAAACGGGGGGUGGAAUUUCUUUUUUGAAUUUCUUUUCGUAUUUACCACCCUCUUCUUCGUCUAACCCUCCACUGUAUACGUGAUAGUGUGUUACAUUGUAACCGCCUUUUUGUGUGUGUGUGUGUGCCGUGUUUGCGGCGGGCAGCAGACCGAAGAUAAGUCCAAUAAGGCGCGCUUUGCAACAGAAAGGGGGGAAGACAUGUCCGUGUGUUUUCAACGGCCCGUCACCUGCUGGAUGCUGUUUCGUUCCUUUUCUCUCCUAGAAAAAAAAAAAAACCUUUUUUUCUGUUUUCUAGGCGUCGGCGGCACGCGUCCAACUCUCUCGGCGCCGCGUCUUGUAUAUGUCCGGUCCGCUUUCUCCAUCCGUCCACUCCGCAUGUUUUUGCUCCGAUCGGAACAGUUGUGUGAAGGACGAAUAAGGCCGACUGGUGUUAUCAUCGUCUCUCCGUGAUGUGUAUGUUUACCUCACGAGAAAAAAAUGUAAAGAAAAAAAAAAAAGGGAAGAACCGCAACGGCGGCGGCGGUCGCUGUGUGGCGGCGCGUGUUUGUGUGUUUCUAAGCCGAGUUUAAUUGAAAAAGCUGGGCCACAAGAUUAUCGACGUUAUCCGAGAUGGACCUACCUACUACCCCAGGUGCACUGGAGACAAUCACAGGUAUAAAUGGCGGGUGUGGAGGUGGUCGUCUCUUGUCGGCUGUAUAGGUGUCUCCUGUGUGUGUGUGUGUGUGCUGACCCGUGUGACAACAACAACAACAACAACUGUCUCUAUAGUAUAAAAGCCUCUUUAGUCGUGACGUUUUCCCCUCCUUCGAUUCGAUCAAUGGCGGGAUAUCGUGCGGAAGGAUGCCGAAUUGUUUUUUUUGCCAACCAAUCGAACAGUUGGGACAACAUGUCGCCAAACGGCAACACUUGCGAUUCGAAAGAACUGCUUUUGUCGACAGUGUAGGCUACUCAAUCUUGACACAAUUGCAAAAUAGCGAUUGAUUUCCAUCCCAUGUUGCAUGUCAUUUUGUUUUUCCCUGAUUGGUGUGUUGUCGCCUUGCUUACCUUAUUCCUCGUUCAUUUCGCACGACAAAAGAAGAAGUAGACCUAGUACAAUAAUAACAAAU